rnacentral:tRNA from 1 species
AAUAGAGGUGCCUAGCUGUUAAUUAGGAGAUUGUAGCUAUUCUACCCGUUUAGUGGCGCUACGCCG